rnacentral:rRNA from 1 species
UACGUAUGGGGCUAGCGUUGUUCGGAAUUAUUGGGCGUAAAGGGCGUCUAGGCGGGGAAUUAAGUUAGGUGUGAAAUCCCUGGGCUCAACCCAGGAACUGCAUCUAAAACUGGUUCUCUUGAGUUCGGGAGAGGAGAGCGGAAUUCCCGGUGUAGCGGUGAAAUGCGUAGAUAUCGGGAAGAACACCAGUGGCGAAGGCGGCUCUCUGGCCUAGAACUGACGCUGAAGCGCGAAAGCGUGGGGAGCGAACGGGAUUAGAAACCCUAGUAGUCC